rnacentral:rRNA from 1 species
GAUGAACGCUGGCGGCGUGCCUAAUACAUGCAAGUCGAGCGAAUGGAUUAAGAGCUUGCUCUUAUGAAGUUAGCGGCGGACGGGUGAGUAACACGUGGGUAACCUGCCCAUAAGACUGGGAUAACUCCGGGAAACCGGGGCUAAUACCGGAUAACAUUUUGAACCGCAUGGUUCGAAAUUGAAAGGCGGCUUCGGCUGUCACUCAUGGAUGGACCCGCGUCGCAUUAGCUAGUUGGUGAGGUAACGGCUCACCAAGGCAACGAUGCGUAGCCGACCUGAGAGGGUGAUCGGCCACACGGGGACUGAGACACGGCCCAGACUCCUCCGGGAGGCAGCAGUAGGGAAUCUUCCGCAAUGGACGAAAGUCUGACGGAGCAACGCCGCGUGAGUGAUGAAGGCUUUCGGGUCGUAAAACUCUGUUGUUAGGGAAGAACAAGUGCUAGUUGAAUAAGCUGGCACCUUGACGGUACCUAACCAGAAAGCCACGGCUAACUACGUGCCAGCCGCCGCAGUAA